rnacentral:tRNA from 1 species
GUCAGGAUGGCCGAGCGGUCUAAGGCGCUGCGUUCAGGUCGCAGUCGGGUUCUACCGGCGUGGGUUCGAAUCCAACUUCUGACA